CUAGCAGUCAAACACGGAAAUGGUUCCACUCAUUUUUCCACCAUUCAUUUGAUUAAUUAUGGAUUUCAGAAACACUUCAAACAAGGGCUGUGUUUUGUGUAGGUUUUGAUAACCGUGUACAUCUCUCUCGGACAAGGUGACUUUUAUCAAUAUAUUCACCAGUAUUUACCCUCCAAAAUUGAAUGCUAAUUAACUGCUAAUGUGGCUAUCAUACAGAACUACAAAUGCAUGUCUCAAGCUUCACGUCACUCACCAGGGCCAUGAUGAUCUGGACGAGACUGCCGAAUCGAGGCAAAGAACCAAUGAGUGUGCCUGAGUCUUAUCCCCUCUCAACUACAACCCGAAGACAUUCAAGCAACACUUUGAGAGCAAGCAUCACAAGUCUCCAGCGGUCCCAGUACUGGUUGAUGUGCAGGUCUAAGUGUCCACACACACUGAAAUGGACCUAUCAGCUGGGACACAAGAUGACCAUGAUUUGAAUGCUGCAACUGAGACGGAAUGAUGUCAUCGGGACACAAGCUGAGACCCUGAGUAUGACUGGACAUGGGCCGGAUAUUAGUGACAAAGACCUAAAAGGGGUGCAGAAGCACACUCAUUUUCUGAUUAUUCCAUGAACAACCAUCUCUCUAGCUAUGCCUCAUUCCACACUAUGCAUUUUAUUCCCCAUGGUCCCUCAACUUCAGACACAUUGAAACUCUCCAUCUUAUCUCUAUAAAUCCACCCUACCUUCACCCAUUUUCCCUAUGCUGCUUCCUUCACUUGUAUAACAUCUAGACUCAGUAACACGUUUAAAGGGGUUGUGGUGUACUGUUUUUGCUACUUCUUUUCACCUGUGUAAUGCUGUCCUCCUCCUGCUUAUUCUGGGGUCCAGACUGAAUGCAGUGGUAAAUGUGCUGCUCACAAUUGACAGCAGCAACAUGGACCUUAAAUUGACAAGAAGGGUGUUGCUAUAGCUUAGGCAUGUCUUCCUUGUUUUGGGUCUGUUAAGUGUGUUUCUCAUUCUGCUGGAGUUGACCUAGUAUUUUACAUAAAACCUACCUUAAACAUUCAGUUUUUCAAAUUCUAACUCACCCACCAACAUCACAAAAUCUGUUUUACAUUUUGUGUUAUUUGUGUUGGUCUAAUACCUCAAAUGGAAAAGCAGAAUAAUGUGUGCGCUAAGAUAGUAAUAAUAAUUCAUUUGGUGCUCUUUUGACGUACCACAUUUGUGUCAUUAAUUCAUAAAUAAUUUAAUGUUUACUUAAAUGUAAAUGCUUAUACACUACCGGUCAAAGGUUUUAGAACACCUACUCAUUCAAGGGUUUUUCUUUAUUUUUACUAUUUUCUACAUUGUGAAGACAACAAAACUAUGAAAUAACACCUAUGGAAUCAUGUAGUAACCAAAAAAAGAGUUAAACAAAUCUAAAUAUAUAAAUUAUAUUUGAGAUUCUUCAAAUAGCCACCCUUUGCCACAAGACCAAAUGUAUAAAUAAGACAAGUAUUAGUUAAAUAAAAUAUGUAACUAAAUGUAAAUGUUCAAUAUAUAUUUUGUUUUGGAUCCAGGUAGCUAGGUGUCAAAGCAAAUGUGUGAACUAGAGAUGAUGUGCAGGAACUUGCAGGGAUUUGUAGUCUUGCAUGAUGUCUGUUUGUGUUGGGUCAAUGUCCUGUUGAAAAACAAAUGAUAUUCCCACUAAUUAGGUUUUUAGAAUCUGAGAGUAAAUCAAGCCUAAUGUAUUGACGGAAGUCACCUUGUCCGAGAGAGAUUUACAUGGUUGUCAAAAACGUCACACCAGGGUAAGCCUACAAAAACGUCACACCAGGGUAAGCCUACAAAAAACGUGUUUCUAAAAUCUACAAUGAAUAAAAUGAAUGGUGGAAAAACAAUUGGAAACAUUUCCGUGUUUGACCGUUAGGUAAUGGGUAUGUGUGGGCUACAGAGAUGGGGUAGGCAUUCAAAAAACAAUUUUAUUGAACACGGAAUGAGUCCAUGCAACUUAUUGUGCGAUUUGUUAAGCACAUUUUAACUCCUGAACUUUAGGCUUGCCAUAACAAACGGUUGAACACUUAUUGACUCUACAAACAUAAUUCCGCUUUGUGUAUAGAUCAGUGACUCAAAAUCUAAAUGUAAUCAAUGUGGGAAAAGUAAAGGGGUGUGAAUACUUUCUGAAGGCAACUGUAUGUCACACUACUUGCCACCCACUGUAUAAAUGUUAUAUAUGUAUUUCUGGGGAGGACAAGAUGUAAUUAUGUUCAUGAAUAAUCAAUGACGAUGAGAGAUUUUGAAGAAUACAGUAUGUGUGUCUCACUAAGAAAAACAGGGUAAAUGUGUUUGGUUAUUAUGCUAUGAUCUAGUUCUAAUACGAAAAUAGGCUAUAUAUCGCUUACCAAGAUCCACAAUAAUAAACAAUACUUGAUUAAACUAUGAUA